rnacentral:rRNA from 1 species
UGGGGAAUCUUGCGCAAUGGGCGAAAGCCUGACGCAGCCAUGCCGCGUGAAUGAUGAAGGUCUUAGGAUUGUAAAAUUCUUUCACCGGGGACGAUAAUGACGGUACCCGGAGAAGAAGCCCCGGCUAACUUCGUGCCAGCAGCCGCGGUAAUACGAAGGGGGCUAGCGUUGCUCGGAAUUACUGGGCGUAAAGGGCGCGUAGGCGGACAGUUAAGUUGGGGGUGAAAGCCCGGGGCUCAACCUCGGAAUUGCCUUCAAUACUGGCUGUCUUGAGUAUGAGAGAGGUGUGUGGAACUCCGAGUGUAGAGGUGAAGUUCGUAGAUAUUCGGAAGAACACCAGUGGCGAAGGCGACACACUGGCUCAUUACUGACGCUGAGGCGCGAAAGCGUGGGGAGCAAAC